rnacentral:rRNA from 1 species
CAAUACAAAGGGCAGCGAAACCGCGAGGUCAAGCAAAUCCCAUAAAGUUGUUCUCAGUUCGGAUUGUAGUCUGCAACUCGACUACAUGAAGCUGGAAUCGCUAGUAAUCGUAGAUCAGCAUGCUACGGUGAAUACGUUCCCGGGUCUUGUACACACCGCCCGUCACACCACGAGAGUUUGUAACACCCGAAGCCGGUGGAGUAACCUUUUAGGAGCUAGCCGUCGAAGGUGGGACAAAUGAUUGGGGUGAAGUCGUAACAAGGUAGCCGUAUCGGAAGGUGCGGCUGGAUCACCUCCUUUCUAAGGA